rnacentral:rRNA from 1 species
AGUAAAAAGCUCGUAGUUGGAUUUGUGGCGCUUCCUUGCAGCCCCAAUUAGCUUUGGUGCUAGCGGGUGGUGCCAUCUUUGGGUGGAACCCUGUGGGGCAUUAGCUUGUUUUGCAGGGGAAAUUCAUCGUUUACUGUGAAAAAAUUAGAGUGUUCAAAGCAGGCUUAUGCCAAUGAAUAUGCUAGCAUGGAAUAAUGAAAUAGGACUUUUGGUACUAUUUUGUUGGUUUGCGCGCCAAAGUAAUGAUUAAUAGGGACAGUUGGGGGUAUUCGUAUUCCAUAGUCAGAGGUGAAAUUCUUGGAUUUUUGGAAGACGAACUACUGCGAAAGCAUUUACCAAGGAUGUUUUCAUUAAUCAAGAACAAAAGUUAGGGGAUCGAAGAUGAUUAGAUACCAUCGUAGUCUUAACCAUAAACUAUGCCAGUUAGGGAUUGGCAGGGUAUCGUUACGUCCCUGUCAGCACCUUAUGAGAAAUCAUUAAACUUUUGGGUUCCGGGGGGAGUAUGGUUGCAAGGCUGAAACUUAAAGAAAUUGACGGAAGGNNCCNC